CGAAGGGGGCUAGCGUUGCUCGGAAUUACUGGGCGUAAAGGGAGCGUAGGCGGACAUUUAAGUCAGAGGUGAAAUCCCGGAGCUUAACUUCGGAACUGCCUUUGAUACUGGGUGUCUUGAGUGUGAGAGAGGUAUGUGGAACUCCGAGUGUAGAGGUGAAAUUCGUAGAUAUUCGGAAGAACACCAGUGGCGAAGGCGACAUACUGGCUCAUUACUGACGCUGAGGCUCGAAAGCGUGGGGAGCAAACAGGAUUAGAUACCCUGGUAGUCCACGCCGUAAACGAUGAUUGCUAGUUGUCGGGAAGCUUGCUUCUCGGUGACGCAGCUAACGCAUUAAGCAAUCCGCCUGGGGAGUACGGUCGCAAGAUUA
rnacentral:rRNA from 1 species